rnacentral:lncRNA from 1 species
GUGACGCACCGCCCCCUCCCAGCCACAGCGCCGCCCUCCGACACUCCCCUCACUGCGUCUAAGGGCCCACAUCCCUCGGGUUGGGACGCCAUCUUGACACUGGGCGGAAGCCUUCAGGCAAGAGGCCAGAAUCAGAUUGAGGAUUGGUUCAAAGUGAGGCGUGGGACAAAAGCUGUGGAACUAUUGGAGGCCGAGACCUAGGAGGGCGGCACUUACCGUUAAUCGAUGUCUGCCAUGAGGCUGGGACGGAGGUACCGCCCCACCUUGAAGACCCAGAACCUUACGGGCAGUCCUACUCUCUGCUGAGGUUGAACUCUCCAGCCGCUGGAAAUCGGCCAGCCGUCGUUUAUUUAUCAGAAAAGCGAUACUUCCUAGAUGCCUGUUUCUUGGAUUCUGGAACUCUGUGCGGGAAGCUCUGCAGUUAGGCUCAAUAAAAGGCAGGAAUUCCUAUCGUAACUCUGUAGUUCAUUUCCCUCUGUAGGCCCUUCUUUAGAAACCCCAAGGAUGGCCAGCUUCAACUUGGAGAUUCCUGUAGUUCUGACCAGGGAGGUUUACAGGAAAGAGUUCCCAUUAAUGAUUUCAGUCACCUAACCAAGUCCCUCCUGCCACAGUUUCAGUCCCUUUCUCCUCCUCCAACAGCCACGCCCUCCAUGAAUCAGCUUCUUGCACCCGCAGAUGAGCCCUUUAAAGGGAUUGCAUCAGGCUGGUGACUCACUUUGGGCCCUCUGAGAGCCUGAGUUCUCUCCCCUGGCAUGCAGAAGUAGCUAGAAGGACUCAGUGACGUGACGGCAGCACCAGCGGCCAUAGCCCCACUCCUUUGUCUCUGAAAAAUGAGCUGGGAUGCUUGCUGCUUGUCUCUUUAACUCUCAGCUGUCUUUUCAGCAGUCCCCUGGUAUCCAAGCUAUAUCCAAGCCUGUGUGCACUGCUGGGUUUCAGGGUGCAUGGCCAGGCACGUGUAUGUGCAAUGACACUGCCAUCUCCAACCCCGGCAGACUCUCAGCUGAUUUAAAAUACAGGAUUUUAACGAAGGAAGGAAGAAGAAGAGAAAGAAAGAAGGAAAAGAGGGCUCUAAUUAUCAGCCAGAUGAAUCACUUGGCAAUGACACCACCAUCCCCACCCCCAGGAGACUCAGCUGAUUCAAAAUAUAGGAUUUUAAUACAGGAGAGGAGGAGGAAGAUAAAGAAGGGAGCAGAAGAGGUAAUGAACAGAAAGUAGAGGUGCCAGCCAGAGGAAAUGGAAACUGUCACCAGGACACUAACACGAGGAGAUGGCUGGGACACAGACACACGUGAUGACACACUCCUGCUGGCUCUUCCGCUCUGGCUGACUAGCAGAUGGAGCUGCUGUCACACAGCGACGCCUGUCACAACACCACAACAUGGCUCCUUGAUGAGGUAAAGGACGAUCCGCCUGUCACAGAAGGAGGCGAAGAGACCCUCAAACUCCAGGGUCCUCUUCAGGCUUCUGAAGGCCAGCUCUUCUUACUGGCUGUUUGAGGGUUUUUUUUACUGUUUCUGUGGGUAAGCCCCAAGGUGUAGGUAUGGCAAAUUUUUAUCGUCAGACCCACAUGGUGGCUGGGUAUGACAACUAAGGUGAGCAGAGGCAAGUCUAAUUUUAUUUUGCCAUCAGUAUGAUGUCAAGAGGACUGGGCCACCUACAUCAACCUUUCUCAGCUCAAAGCAGCUAGAUGGAAACUACGUCCAUUCUCCCUAAUGACAGUUAGGGGUACCUGUUCAGCGGGGGAAUAUUGUAGACAGCUAAGUUAGGUAGAAAUAUUACAGGCACUCAGACAGAGCUAGGCCCUUGAGGAAGUCAGUGCAGAAGAUGAGAACACUUCAGAACUAUGGCUGGAGGUGCGUUUAAAGCAGAUUAAAGUCACAAUGGCCAGUUCACCUUCUUCCCUAAGGGAUAAGCAGAAGUUUAAGAUUACUGGUCCACUCUUGAGAUUUCCUGUGUUAAUAAAUCAUUAUCUCAUUAGGGGCAGGAUGGCCAUCUUUUCCCACCCACUAAGACUAAAACUACUAAAGCUAAGGCUGAGGUUGAAGACAAGAUUAAAGCUAUAGAUUAUCAGCCAAGGUUUAUGUCAUCCAUAUUCUUUUCCCACUACUGGAUCAACAUUACCUAAGCAGCUAUACUUGUAAUUUUAUUGGUCGAUUAUAGUUUUGACUUACAUUAUACCCACCUUCUGAUUUUGCUCUAUAAAACUUUCUUGGAGAAGUAGGCUCUUUGGCAAUUCAUUCAGGACCCCUCCUGUCUCUCAGGAGCUGUUUCUAUUCCCCAUUCUUAUUCCCCAAUAAAUUUUCCUACUCUUAAAAAAAAAAAAAAAGAAAAAGAAAAACAUGCUGAGCUAGGCAUCACGGAACAUUCCUAUAAUCCCAGUACUUGGAAGGCUGAGGCAGGAGGAUCACUGUAAAUUCGAGACCAGCGUGGGCUAGACAGUGAGACCCUAUCUCAGAGGAAAAAAAAGAAGAAGAAGAAAGAAGAAAGAAGAAAGAAGAAGAAGAAGAAGAAGAAGAAGAAGAAGAAGAAGAAGAAGAAGAAGAAGAAGAAGAAGAAGAAGAAGAAGAAGAAGAAGAAGAAGAAGAAGAAGAAGAAG